GGGUUCUUAGCUCAGUUGGUUAGAGCGCCACGUUGACAUCGUGGAGGUCGGCAGUUCGAAUCUGCCAGAACCCA
rnacentral:tRNA from 1 species